GUGGGGAAUAUUGGACAAUGGGCGAAAGCCUGAUCCAGCAAUGCCGCGUGAGUGAAGAAGGCCUUAGGGUUGUAAAGCUCUUUUACCCGGGAAGAUAAUGACUGUACCGGGAGAAUAAGCUCCGGCUAACUCCGUGCCAGCAGCCGCGGUAAUACGGAGGGAGCUAGCGUUGUUCGGAAUCACUGGGCGUAAAGCGCACGUAGGCGGCUUUGUAAGUUAGAGGUGAAAGCCCGGGGCUCAACUCCGGAACUGCCUUUAAGACUGCAUCGCUUGAAGCUGGGAGAGGUAAGUGGAAUUCCGAGUGUAGAGGUGAAAUUCGUAGAUAUUCGGAAGAACACCAGUGGCGAAGGCGGCUUACUGGACCAGAAUUGACGCUGAGGUGCGAAAGCGUGGGGAGCAAACAGGAUUAGAUACCCGGGUAGUCC
rnacentral:rRNA from 1 species